GGACGAACGCUGGCGGCGUGCUUAACCCAUGCAAGUCGUACGGUAAGGCCCUUUCGGGGGUACACGAGUGGCGAACGGGUGAGUAACACGUGAGUAACCUGCCCACAACUUUGGGAUAACGCUAGGAAACUGGUGCUAAUACUGGAUAUGUGCUCCUGCUGCAUGGUGGGGGUUGGAAAGCUCCGGCGGUUGUGGAUGGACUCGCGGCCUAUCAGCUUGUUGGUGGGGUAGUGGCCUACCAAGGCGGCGACGGGUAGCCGGCCUGAGAGGGUGACCGGCCACAUUGGGACUGAGAUACGGCCCAGACUCCUACGGGAGGCAGCAGUGGGGAAUAUUGCACAAUGGGCGCAAGCCUGAUGCAGCAACGCCGCGUGCGGGAUGACGGCCUUCGGGUUGUAAACCGCUUUCAGCAGGGACGAAGCUUUUUGUGACGGUACCUGCAGAAGAAGCACCGGCUAACUACGUG
rnacentral:rRNA from 1 species